AAUGAACGCUGGCGGCAGGCCUAACACAUGCAAGUCGAACGCCCCGCAAGGGGAGUGGCGCACGGGUGAGUAACGCGUGGGAAUAUGCCCUUCGGUUCGGAAUAACACAGGGAAACUUGUGCUAAUACCGGAUACGGUCUACGGACGAAAGAUUUAUCGCCGAGGGAGUAGCCCGCGUAGGAUUAGCUAGUUGGUGAGGUAAUGGCUCACCAAGGCGACGAUCCUUAGCUGGUCUGAGAGGAUGAUCAGCCACACUGGGACUGAGACACGGCCCAGACUCCUACGGGAGGCAGCAGUGGGGAAUAUUGGACAAUGGGCGAAAGCCUGAUCCAGCCAUGCCGCGUGAGUGAUGAAGGCCUUAGGGUUGUAAAGCUCUUUCGCCGGGGAAGAUAAUGACGGUACCCGGAAAAGAAGCCUCGGCUAACUCCGUG
rnacentral:rRNA from 1 species